rnacentral:rRNA from 1 species
GCUAUACAUGCAAGUCGAGCGAACAGAUAAGGAGCUUGCUCCUUUGACGUUAGCGGCGGACGGGUGAGUAACACGUGGAUAACCUACCUAUAAGACUGGGAUAACUUCGGGAAACCGGAGCUAAUACCGGAUAACAUAUUGAACCGCAUGGUUCAAUAGUGAAAGGCGGCUUUGCUGUCACUUAUAGAUGGAUCCGCGCCGUAUUAGCUAGUUGGUAAGGUAACGGCUUACCAAGGCAACGAUACGUAGCCGACCUGAGAGGGUGAUCGGCCACACUGGAACUGAGACACGGUCCAGACUCCUACGGGAGGCAGCAGUAGGGAAUCUUCCGCAAUGGGCGAAAGCCUGACGGAGCAACGCCGCGUGAGUGAUGAAGGUCUUCGGAUCGUAAAACUCUGUUAUCAGGGAAGAACAAAUGUGUAAGUAACUGUGCACAUCUUGACGGUACCUGAUCAGAAAGCCACGGCUAACUACGUGCCAGCAGCGGCCGGUAAUAA